UUAGGUGGCGCAUUUAUAAGCGUUAGUCUCUUAAAUUAAUAAAGAGAAAUUUAGUUAAA
rnacentral:tRNA from 1 species